GUAUGAAGCGAAGAAAUGAAACUUCAAAAACAAUUUCAAUGCAUGCCAAAGAAAUUCCAGAAUGUGGUCCACCCAAAGAUGUAAAGCCAUGGAAAGAAAUUUCUGAACAGUCUCCUUUCCAACAAGAAGAAAUUCAACAAAGUGGUCCCUCCGAACGUAUGAAGCGAAUAAAUGAAACUUCAAAAACAAUUUCAAUGCAUGCAAAAGAAAUUCCAGAAUGUGGUCCACCCAA